rnacentral:rRNA from 1 species
UACGUAGGUGGCAAGCGUUGUCCGGAAUUACUGGGCGUAAAGCGCGCGUAGGCGGCUUUGUAAGUUAGAGGUGAAAGCCCGGAGCUCAACUCCGGAACUGCCUUUAAAACUGCAUCGCUUGAAUCCAGGAGAGGUGAGUGGAAUUCCGAGUGUAGAGGUGAAAUUCGUAGAUAUUCGGAAGAACACCAGUGGCGAAGGCGGCUCACUGGACUGGUAUUGACGCUGAGGUGCGAAAGCGUGGGGAGCAAACAGG